UACUCGAGUGGCGAACGGGUGAGUAACACGUGGGUGAUCUGCCCCGCACUUCGGGAUAAGCCUGGGAAACUGGGUCUAAUACCGGAUAGGAGCCAUUUUUAGUGUGAUGGUUGGAAAGUUUUUUCGGUGUAGGAUGAGCUCGCGGCCUAUCAGCUUGUUGGUGGGGUAAUGGCCUACCAAGGCGGCGACGGGUAGCCGGCCUGAGAGGGUGGACGGCCACAUUGGGACUGAGAUACGGCCCAG
rnacentral:rRNA from 1 species